UACUUCUCAGCUUCACGUAUAUGGCAAAACAAUGCUGGUAACAUUUUUUGGAAAAAGUCGCCACGUGGUGGCCCAAAACGCUCCAUUUUUAGCAAAAAGUUGUGACGACUAUACUCCGUUUCAUACAUCAGGUGCAACGCUGUGGAGGUAUGAGAGACUUUUUGCAGUGUCUGCGUUCGCACUUGAAUAUAGUUUGAUGUUUUUUAACCGCAAUUGUGCGCAACCGUUUUUAUAUAGGCUCAGUAUUAAAUGAAGCAAGUUGGAAUUCUUAGAAAA
rnacentral:lncRNA from 1 species